rnacentral:rRNA from 1 species
GAUGAACGCUGACAGCAUGCUUAACACAUGCAAGUCGAUGGGGAAGUGGUGCUUGCACCCUGGCAACCAUGGCGGACGGGUGAGUAACGCGUAAGGGACUUACCUGCAGGACUGGGAUAACAGGGGGAAACUCCUGACAAGACCGGAUAAUGUCAUGGAGCUGCAUGGCUUUAUGAUGAAAGGAGACGCCUGCGGAGAGCCUUGCGUCCUAUUAGCUAGUUGGUGAGGUAAUGGCUCACCAAGGCGAAGAUAGGUAGCCGGCCUGAGAGGGUGGACGGCCACAAGGGGACUGAGAUACGGCCCUUACUCCUACGGGAGGCAGCAGUGGGGAAUAUUGGACAAUGGGGGCAACCCUGAUCCAGCAAUUCUGUGUGCACGAAGAAGGUUUUCGGAUUGUAAAGUGCUUUCAGCAGGGAAGAAGUAAGUGACGGUACCUGCAGAAGAAGCGACGGCUAAAUACGUG